CGAGCGGACAGAAGGGAGCUUGCUCCCGGAUGUUAGCGGCGGACGGGUGAGUAACACGUGGGUAACCUGCCUGUAAGACUGGGAUAACUCCGGGAAACCGGAGCUAAUACCGGAUAGUUCCUUGAACCGCAUGGUUCAAGGAUGAAAGACGGUUUCGGCUGUCACUUACAGAUGGACCCGCGGCGCAUUAGCUAGUUGGUGGGGUAAUGGCUCACCAAGGCGACGAUGCGUAGCCGACCUGAGAGGGUGAUCGGCCACACUGGGACUGAGACACGGCCCAGACUCCUACGGGAGGCAGCAGUAGGGAAUCUUCCGCAAUGGACGAAAGUCUGACGGAGCAACGCCGCGUGAGUGAUGAAGGUUUUCGGAUCGUAAAGCUCUGUUGUUAGGGAAGAACAAGUGCGAGAGUAACUGCUCGCACCUUGACGGUACCUAACCAGAAAGCCACGGCUAACUACGUGCCAGCAGCCGCGGUAAUACGUAGGUGGCAAGCGUUGUCCGGAAUUAUUGGGCGUAAAGGGCUCGCAGGCGGUUUCUUAAGUCUGAUGUGAAAGCCCCCGGCUCAACCGGGGAGGGUCAUUGGAAACUGGGAAACUUGAGUGCAGAAGAGGAGAGUGGAAUUCCACGUGUAGCGGUGAAAUGCGUAGAGAUGUGGAGGAACACCAGUGGCGAAGGCGACUCUCUGGUCUGUAACUGACGCUGAGGAGCGAAAGCGUGGGGAGCGAACAGGAUUAGAUACCCUGGUAGUCCACGCCGUAAACGAUGAGUGCUAAGUGUUAGGGGGUUUCCGCCCCUUAGUGCUGCAGCUAACGCAUUAAGCACUCCGCCUGGGGAGUACGGUCGCAAGACUGAAACUCAAAGGAAUUGACGGGGGCCCGCACAAGCGGUGGAGCAUGUGGUUUAAUUCGAAGCAACGCGAAGAACCUUACCAGUCUUGACAUCCUCUGACAACCCUAGAGAUAGGGCUUUCCCUUCGGGGACAGAGUGACAGUGGUGCAUGGUGUCGUCAGCUCGUGUCGUGAGAUGUUGGGUUAAGUCCCGCAACGAGCGCAACCCUUGAUCUUAGUUGCCAGCAUUCAGUUGGGCACUCUAAGGUGACUGCCGGUGACAAACCGGAGGAAGGUGGGGAUGACGUCAAAUCAUCAUGCCCCUUAUGACCUGGGCUACACACGUGCUACAAUGGACAGAACAAAGGGCUGCAAGACCGCAAGGUUUAGCCAAUCCCAUAAAUCUGUUCUCAGUUCGGAUCGCAGUCUGCAACUCGACUGCGUGAAGCUGGAAUCGCUAGUAAUCGCGGAUCAGCAUGCCGCGGUGAAUACGUUCCCGGGCCUUGUACACACCGCCCGUCACACCACGAGAGUUUGCAACACCCGAAGUCGGUGAGGU
rnacentral:rRNA from 1 species